UACAGAGGGGGCGAGCGUUGUUCGGAAUUACUGGGCGUAAAGGGCGCGUAGGCGGUCCGCUAAGUCGAACGUGAAAUCCCCAGGCUCAACCUGGGAACUGCGUCCGAUACUGGCAGGCUUGAAUCCGGGAGAGGGAUGUGGAAUUCCAGGUGUAGCGGUGAAAUGCGUAGAUAUCGGGAGGAACACCAGUGGCGAAGGCGGUUGCCUGGAGCUUUGCUGACGCUGAUGCGCGAAAGCGUGGGGAGCGAUCCGG
rnacentral:rRNA from 1 species